AUGGAGGCAAGUAGCCUACAGUUACUCCCUGAGAGGAGGGAGUUGUAAGGCUGGCAAGCCCAGACAAUGUGGGAGAGCCAGAAGGGCAACAGGAUAGAGGAGGGUGGUGAAUGUUUGUGCACAUGCACUGACCCUUGAGGAAAGCUUUAUCGAAAAGUAUUCAGAAUCUGAAUUGAUGCAUGGCUGUCUUGGUAAACUGGCUUUUCAGAAAACAUUCUCCAACCAAACAAUAGCACAAGCAAAGGU